AUUGAACGCUGGCGGCAGGCCUAACACAUGCAAGUCGAACGAGUGGCGGACGGGUGAGUACUGUCUGGUAAACUGCCCGAUGCCGGGGGAUAACUACUGGAAACGGUAGCUAAUACCGCAUACCAUCGGAUUUGCCCAGAUGGGAUUAGCUAGUAGGUGGGGGAACGGCUCACCUAGGCGACGAACCCUAGCUGGUCUGAGAGGAUGACCAGCCACACUGGAACUGAGACACGGUCCAGACUCCUACGGGAGGCAGCAGUGGGGAAUAUUGCACAAUGGGCGAAAGCCUGAUGCAGCCAUGCCGCGUGUAUGAAGAAGGCCUUCGGGUUGUAAAGUACUUUCAGCGGGGAGGCGGUACCCGAAGAAGAAGCACCGGCUAACUCCGUGCCAGCAGCCGCGGUAAUAC
rnacentral:rRNA from 1 species